UACGGGGGGGGGCAAGCGUUUGUUCGGAAUUACUGGGCGUAAAGGGCUCGUAGGCGGCCAACUAAGUCAGACGUGAAAUCCCCAGGCUCAACCCAGGAACCUGCGUCCGAUACUGGUUGGCUUGAAUCCGGGAGAGGGAUGUGGAAUUCCAGGUGUAGCGGUGAAAUGCGUAGAUAUCAGGAAGAACACCCGUGGCUAAGGCGGCUCUCUAGUACGGUACUGGACGCUGAGACGCGAAAGCGUGGGGAGCGAACAGG
rnacentral:rRNA from 1 species